GGAGCCGAACGCUCAACCGACUGAGCCACCCGGGCACCCCUGGAAUAACCUCUCUUAAAUACACCUAAGAAAUCUAACAACGAUAUAACAAGCAAACCCUCUGACUCUGUACACGAAACCAAGAAGCCUGAAAUAAGUAAACCUAAUGGAUAUAAGGUUUAUUCGAACUUCUCCAUUUAGCCUUUUAAGGAUACCUAUGCUUCCUGUAUACCGAGGAUGUAUAGACAAGGAUAGAUAUAUGUCUAAUAAUACCCUCAGGCAUAUAACAUUGUAUAGUUUAAAUUUAUAGAGUAUUUUAAGCAAAUAACUUGUUUGAUCUUUAUAAGAAUUCUGCUGAGCUUCAUUAUUCUUGUAUUUUGUCAUGAAAAUGAGGCUUAGAGAAGUUCAGUAACCUCUGCAUGAAAGAUCUGAAUUAAGAGCUAGUGAAAUUGUGAUGCUGCUUUCUUAAAUAUUUUUAUAAAUUGAAUAGUGUAUCUGAAGAAUAGUGUUAAGAGUCCUGGGUUUGCAUCCUGGUUUUGCCAGUUACUGUCUAUAUGAUAUUGCCCAAGUCAUUUAGCCUCUCUUAGUUUCAACUUUCUCAUAUACAAAAUGGGAAUUAAUACACAGUGCUCAAAUAUUUUGCAAAUGCACAGCACUUAGUACCGUAUCUGGUGGAGUUAAGAGCUUGGUACAUGUUAGCAAUGCUGCUGCUGCUUACUUUUCACUAUUAACUGGCCCCACACUUAGUUUUUAUUGUUCUCUAACAUGAAAAUUUGACUCUGUAACUCCAGGUCUUUUCCCUGGUUCUUAAGCAUAUUAUGUAAUUUCUUUCUUCUCCCUUUUCCUGCCUUUUCUCUAACCAUGAGUAUUUUCAGUGUACCUUCCUUCUAGAUUCUGUCCAGGUCUUUCUUAAUGAUACCUAUCUAUACUAUUUAUGCACACAUAUCCUUUGUUCUAAAAUGUGCCUCACUCAGUGUUUGUCUCCACACCUAUACAUAUCCUAGUCCCCAGGCUUCGAAUGCCUUUCUGCUCCUUACCUGAAGUUGAGAAUUAACACUGAACUGGCAUGCUCAUUCCUUGGGGAAACCUUGCUUAACUGUCCGUCAGAAACAGACUUCCCUGAUUGUUUCUGUGUCCCAGCACCUGCCACAGAAUCCAGACUAUAAACAUCAGAAAAUAAUUGUUGAAGGGAUAAAUGAUUCUUCCUUUCUUUUAUCUCCUAUGACAUUGAUACUUGGGACUAUAAAACUUAGCACAUUUUGUAUAGUGUAACUAAAAAACUGCUGGAUUUAGAGCCAGCAGACUUCAGUUAAAGUCCUGAGCCUUAUAGUAGUGAUGUGAUAUCGGGCGAGUUACAGAGUUUCUAUAAACUUCCAUAUUGUCUUCUAUAAAAUGAAAAGCAGGGACGCUGGCUGGCUGAAUCAUAGAGCAUGCUACUCUAGACCUCGGGGUUGUGAGUUUGAGCCCCAUGUUGGGUGCAGAGAUUACUUA